UCCCUGGUGGCUCAGAGGGUAAAGCAUCUGCCUGUGAUGCAGGAGACCCAGGUUCAAUCCCUGGGUUAGGAAG